UACGAAGGGGGCUAGCGUUGUUCGGAUUUACUGGGCGUAAAGCGCGUGUAGGCGGACUUGUAAGUUGGGGGUGAAAUCCCGAGGCUCAACCUCGGAACUGCCUCCAAAACUACAAGUCUGGAGCAAGAUAGAGGCAAGUGGAAUUGCGAGUGUAGAGGUGAAAUUCGUAGAUAUUCGCAGGAACACCAGUGGCGAAGGCGACUUGCUGGAUCUCUUCUGACGCUGAGGCACGAAAGCUAGGGGAGCAAACGGG
rnacentral:rRNA from 1 species